UAGCACUGAAAGACUCCGAGA
rnacentral:misc_RNA from 1 species